GGGGAUUUAGCUCAGCGGCAUAAGCGCCUGCCUUGCAAGCAGCAGUCGUGAGUUCAAUCCCCA
rnacentral:tRNA from 1 species